rnacentral:rRNA from 1 species
CAGCAGAGUUUGAUCAUGGCUCAGGACGAACGCUGGCGGCGUGCUUAACACAUGCAAGUCACGGGGGCUCGCAAGAGCAACCGGCGAACGGGUGCGUAACACGUGAGCAAUUUGCCGAUUUCUGGGGGAUAGCCGGCCCAACGGCCGGGUAAUACCGCAUACGCUUCAGAAGAGGAGUCUCUUUUGAAGGAAACCUCCGGGGGAAAUCGAGGAGCUCGCGGCCUAUCAGCUAGUUGGCGGGGUCAAGGCCCACCAAGGCGACGACGGGUAGCUGGUCUGAGAGGAUGGCCAGCCACAUUGGGACUGAGAGACGGCCCAGACUCCUACGGGAGGCAGCAGUGGGGAAUCUUGCGCAAUGGCCGAAAGGCUGACGCAGCGACGCCGCGUGUGGGAUGACGCCUUUCGGGGUGUAAACCCCUUUCGACCCGGACGAAUGCCCCGCAAGGGGACUGACGGUACGGGUAUAAGAAGCCCCGGCUAACUACGUGCCAGCAGCCGCGGUAAUCAAUCGC